rnacentral:misc_RNA from 1 species
UCCGGUUUGACACCGGCAGUCUCCCUAGAGUGCCCGGCAUAACCCGCUGGUAACUAGGGACAGGGGUUGCGCUCGUUGCGGGACUUAACCCAACAUCUCACGACACGAGCUGACGACAGCCACGCACCACCUGUGCACGAGCCCCGAAGGGCUGCCAUAUUUCUACGACAUUCCCGUGCAUGUCAAGCCUAGGUAAGGUUCUUCGCGUUGCGUCGAAUUGAACCACAUGCUCCACCGCUUGUGCGGGUCCCCGUCAAUUCCUUUGAGUUUUAAUCUUGCGACCGUACUCCCCAGGCGGGAUGCUUAAUGCGUUAGCUGCGCCACUGACGAGUAAACCCGCCAACGGCUAGCAUCCAUCGUUUACGGCGUGGACUAC